rnacentral:lncRNA from 1 species
CCGUGCCCGGCCCCCAAAGCCCACUUCUGUCACCUCACUCCUGUCUGCUCUCAUGGUCAAGUCCUAGCUUCUGCACCUGGCAUCCCAGGCAAGGCCCCUGCACCUGGCCCUGCCCUCCUGCAGCCCCUACUGACCCGUAGCUAACAUUGCAGCAGCUCCCCGCCCUCCACUACUCCCCUCUUCUGCUGUUUCUCCACAGCCUCCUCACCAGUCAGCACACUAUAGAGUUUACAGAUUUGUCUUCAUUGUCUGUCUCCCACUAAAAUGUCAGCUGCAGGGAUUUGGGGAGGGGGAGAGGAGGGGUCUUUUUCAUCGUGCUCAACAAAUACUUGAGGGAAUGACUGCAUGAUCUCCACCCUCCUGCCACUGCACACUCAUGCCAGGCACCUUUACCCUGAUGCUGUUAUGCCCUUGCCCUAAUGUCCUCCCGAUGCCUUUGGCUGAAUCAUGCUACCUCUUGCAGAAAGGCUUCCGGGAUUAUACCUGCCCACAGCCCAGCCUCCCCUCACUGACCUCAUCACAGUGCAGAAAUCCCCAAGCUCAGGUGGAUUUCAGAGGAAGAAGGUGGACAGGGCAGGCCAGCUCCUUGGGGCUGUGCAGGGACCAGGGACGGUGGUGUCUGCUGUUCCGGGAUUGAGAGAGAUGAAGCACUUACUCACCUCAGUGACUGGUGUGCGCAGCCACUCCCUGUUCAGCUUGGUUGUGACCUCUGCUAGAAGCCCUCCCUGGCCUCCCUGUGCACUGAGCUGGUGGUUCCUCCUUUGCGCCCCAGGGAAUGGAAUAAGAAUGGGAUAAGUAUAACACAAUGAGACGAAUGCAGAACCAACUAGAUGUACACCCAACAAUGUGGAUGAACCUUAAAACAGUGCUGCCUGAAGAAGGCAAGAAACAGAAUGAAAUCUGCAGCACAUCAUUCAUAUAAACUAAAAAUACAUGCACAGAGAAAGGCCACUUUUUUUU